UCUAUGUCGGCGACCGGCGCACGGGUGCGUAACGCGUAUGCAACCUACCCAUUACAGGGGGAUAACACUGAGAAAUCGGUACUAAUACCCCAUAACAUCCAGGGAGGCAUCUUCUUGGGUUGAAAACUCCGGUGGUAAUGGAUGGGCAUGCGUUGUAUUAGUUAGUUGGUGGGGUAACGGCUCACCAAGACAACGAUACAUAGGGGGACUGAGAGGUUAACCCUCCACAUUGGUACUGAGACACGGACCAAACUCCUACGGAAGGCAGCAG
rnacentral:rRNA from 1 species